AAUGUUGAUUUCCCCACACCUAAAUUUGCCAACAUCAACGACACAGCAGAAACCUCGGCCCUGCCUGGCUUUCUCCUUCCAGACCGCAUCUGAGUGUAAGUGGACUCAGGCCAACCCACACCCAAAAUCUCCACAAAAUCUCACAAAGAAUCCAAGACCCCCAGCCUUCCUCACCGGUGUCAUAGCAACGACUCGACCAAUGCGAGCAUUCGAUUAAUAUUCUAAAGACGUGUAUCCAUGCACUCUGAAUUUCAUUCCGUGUUUUCAUUAACAUUCCGCGAGGCCCACAGCGAGGCUGCUUCCUCCCCAGCCUGCUUCCUUUCUGGUCCCGGUCCCUGCCAACCUACACGUGGAGCUCACUGUGUCCGUGACCAUCUGCUUAAAUAACCCACAUCUCAGGGAUUUACAUGGCUGCACGCGUCUCGGAAACCUUCGGUAUGGGGAUCUAGGGGGCUGAUUUCACACGGCCGACUCUACAAUUAUAUUGGCGGACCCAGUGGCUGGAGAAACACAAUGGGUGUCGGUAUGUAUGCGUGCAUGCCCACAACCCCAAGAGGAAAACAGAAGGGAGAAGAGACCCCAAGGAGCAGAGCCAGCAUUCACGCAGACGGAGGCGAGACUGACCUCAGCCUGCUCCAGAGACAGGACACACAGUGAGGAGCCGGAUGAAGGGAGCUGGCAACUUCCAUGCACCCCUCAGGAACGUCUUGGGGACGCGGAGUCUGAAGACCAGGGACCAGAGUGAUGGCGGCCCGUAGAAAGAUAAAGAAAGCAUGACCUCGGUGCUUUGUCGUUCACCGUGUGAGGGGAGUGACAGUGGAUAAGGCACGGACGGGACAGCAGGAGGGCACGUGGACGGGACAGCGACAGCCUCAGUAAGGAUGGGCUUUCUACGACCUUU